AGAGUUUGAUCCUGGCUCAGGACGAACGCUGGCGGCGUGCUUAACACAUGCAAGUCGAACGAGACCCAGGCCUUCGGGCCUGACGUCUAGUGGCGAACGGGUGAGUAACACGUGAGAAACCUACCCUGGAGACUGGAAUAACCAGAGGAAACUCUGGCUAAUACCAGAUACCCUCAAAUGGCCGCAUGGCUGAUUGAGGAAAGGCUCCGGCGCUCUGGGAGGGUCUCGCGGCCUAUCAGCUUGUUGGUGGGGUAAUGGCCCACCAAGGCAGCGACGGGUAGCUGGUCUGAGAGGACGAUCAGCCACACUGGGACUGAGACACGGCCCAGACUCCUACGGGAGGCAGCAGUGGGGAAUAUUGCGCAAUGGGCGAAAGCCUGACGCAGCAACGCCGCGUGGGGGAUGAAGGCUUUCGGGUUGUAAACCCCUUUCGGCAGGGACGAAAAUGACGGUACCUGCAAAAGAAGCCCCGGCCAACUACGUGCCAGCAGCCGCGGUAACACGUAGGGGGCGAGCGUUGUCCGGAUUUAUUGGGCGUAAAGAGCUCGUAGGCGGUUGCGUAAGUCGGAUGUGAAAACUCAGGGCUCAACCCAGAGACGCCAUCCGAUACUACGCUGACUAGAGUCCGGUAGGGGAGCAUGGAAUUCUUGGUGUA
rnacentral:rRNA from 1 species